rnacentral:lncRNA from 1 species
GACCGUUUUUUUGCAAGUUUUGCCUGUGGAAUCUUUCUGCAGUUGAUAAGAAAUGGGCUGGACUUACUUCCGUCUGCAAUAUUUUUGGUAAAGUGAUUCAAGGUAUGUUCGAUUGCUUACUUAGGAUGGUUACUGAAGCUCUUUGGGAACCAAGAAAGACAUUCUGUAUGUACAAAUAACAUAGGCCUAAAGUUCGUUUUACAUUGAAAAUCUAUAUAUGAAAUUUUCUGUAACGAUCGAAAAUUCAUUCAUUCACUUUGUGAGAUGUCACACAACACCAUGCUCCAAAUUGUUGUCUAUUUGAUCCUUGUGGCAGAAUCAUAGUCUCGUGCAUAAUUGCAUAUAUACUGUGACUGGGCACCAGUACACUUGCAACAUUCUAAAAGGUAGUUUGUUAUGAUUUUUUUACCAAAACUUUUCUUCUACAGUUUAUAUGCAUGCAGAGGAUCUUCAACUGGUUUCAUCAUUUAUCUAGGCUAUGCAAGGUUGCAUAAUCAUGGAUGGUCAUUGUUAGGUAAUCCAAACAAUACCCAGUUUAGUUUUGAUGGAUUUACUACGAAGUGGUCACGUAUAUGAUGAUAGUUGGGCUGAGUCAGAUAGGGGUGCUCUUGGUUGCAGUUCGAAAUUUGACCACCUGGCCAUAUCUGUCUACCAAUUUGUUAUUAUGAUUCAUCGUUGCUUUUUUACCUUUAGAAAAGACUCCUUGCUCAUUCAGUGAAAAAUCUGAUGACAACUCAAUUAUGAUAUCCAGAUUGGCCUGAUUCUAGAUUUGGGGCACGGAAUGAUGGUCAUGGGAAUACCCAAAGGUAUAUAUGUAUAUAAUUACCUACACCUACAUGUUUAUUUCCCUGUUGUGGUUAGUCUUUGGAUUUCUAGACACUUAUUUUUUCUCUUGGGCACCAUAAAUAUGUAGGACUCGUCAGUAUUGUAAAAAAAAUGCAAAUUAAGCCCUCUGCUAUGCUCUUAGCUGCAGUUAACAGAUAGCGAAUCUUCUCAGAAAUUUUCCAUAUUUGAUGUUCGAAAGAAAACUGAUCCUUGGCUAUAUGCACGUUGGAUCCUCGAUUCUUCAUUACUCUUUAUUAGCCACAAGCAAGUCUUGUGCUCUUUUUACAGUCAGUACUACUACCACCACAAAAGGCUCCUCCCAGUAGUAUAGCAGCUAAACCAUCGAAGGCAGUAUUAGUGCAUGUUUUGGAUACAGUCAAAUGGAUAAUCUGAUAAGAAUAUUCUUUAUCUGUUAACAACAGGCAGUUUCGGCAUUGACUUUUGCAGGUGGGCCGAGGCUGGGCUAUGGGAUUUGUUUUCCAAACAAUUCCAAAAGGGCUAAAGUCUCAUUCAAAAGUUUGGGCUUUCCGCUGGAAGCAUUCAAUGAUUUUACUAAAAAAAAACUUAAUGCCGCUAGACACGACCGUUGGCUGUAGAUUUUUAAUUUUUUUUAGUAAUGUUGCUGCUGAAACCUUGAUUUUUUUUUGUAGUUUCAUCGUGGGACAACUGGAUUUUAGAUGAACUCGGACACAUCUCUGUUCCUAGAAUGUUGCCAUCUUGCUAUAUGCAAAAUAAACUAUUGUAAUUUAUAAUAUUGAAAUUUGUGCAGUGGUUGUUCACGACCAAAUUUUGAUUAAAUGAUUUCUAUCUUCUAUCUCUCCUUUGCACAAUAAUGAAGAUGAUUUUGUCCAAUUAUUUUUGUUCAUUCAUCCUGGCUUAUUCUUCUUAUUGUCAUAUGAAGUUUAGAAUAUCAGAGUUCUACAUUUGCUGCCAACAUUUUACAAUUUAGCUUCAGUUAUUUAUUGGUGUGCAUUUUUUCCUGGAGAAAUUUGAAACCCGGUUUCUUCAGUUUUAGAUAUUUCUUCAGUUUCCACCCGUGCUCCACAUGAAGUACCAAUUUUCAGCGGGUAAAUUUUCGGUUAGCGAAACUUUUAGAUAAAACCCGGGAGUAAUGGCUUAUCAUGCUAGAAGUUUCAAGCCCGUCUCACAAUGUUUUUUCGUCAGUGUGUUUGGAAAAAUCUUGGAAUUAAUAGCUUAUCACACACUAGAAAUCUGGUUGUAACUAGCUCAAACACAAAGCCGUGUUAUAAAGCUUGUCGUAAGGAAAACCUGACAUGUAAUGGUUCCAAGAAGGCGAUACAUGAUUUAUUGUUGUGUUUCUGAAUGCUGGGUAUGCAGAAUGUGAGACUUCAAGACAUACAGAUAGUUAUGUACUUCCAAGAGCACCAGUAUGUGUUUGAAUCAAUAGAUCAAAGUUUCUUUACAUGCU